CAGGUCGGACCAUUCCGAGAAUCAGACUUGCCAAUAUGAGAGGUUAAAUGCAAGAAACGAGAAUAAGGAAGUAGUUUUCUUUGAUGACGAAGAUACAAAACCCGCUGAAUCCGUUGAUGUCAAGGUGGCUAAUAAAUGUCAAAUUGGUAACACGAUAAGUGAUAAUAAUUUUGCCUACUAACAUUUCAUCACUAUAUGUUGUAAAAUAGUGACCAAUCAUAAAAUGUAGUACUAAUUUGCAUUGUUGGAUAGAGGGUCGGUUGGUAUUACAGGUGGUGGUGGAUGAAGGGGAUAGUGUCACUAGAAAUGGAGGUGCACAUGAGAACUAUUUUCAUAGAUUUUUUUAAAGUUACUAAAUUGUGUAUGGUAAGACAAGAUGAGACUUUUGAACGACAAUAGUGCUAGAGAAUGGGCGGAUCAAAAGAAUAAAGUGGAGGAAAAGUAAAGGUAGGGAGAAAGAUGACGCUUUGUCUUUUUGUAGGAGGAGGAUGGUUACCGAUGCUGGACGACUACCGGGGAAGAAAGAAGCGGAAUAGAGAGUUGUUAUUGCUCAUUAUAUUGACGACCUUUGUUAGACCCUGCAUCGCUGCUCCCGCCAAAGCGUGCUUCUCUUUUGACAGCAGAGAAGUCUCAAGGUGGAAGGUUGGGGCUGAGAAGCACUAAGUUCUUUGUUGGCUUAUAUACUGCUAGCUAUCAAAGGUAUUUUCAUAUUGGCUGCAUUUUGGGGACCCCGGACUGUCUAAACGGUUGAGGGAACUCACUGGGCGCCCUUUUGAGGUCUGAAAAUGUCCAUUUGUGAGGGAGAAAUGAUCUUCGACCUUGGAGACAACCUUAAUCAUUUUUUGUUUCAUUUAUAUGCAUUGUAGCCCGACCUCUUGUCCUCUUUCUCCUCCGCUGCCACCCCUCCGCACCGAUGCCGCCUCUGUCGGACUAAUCGAGCAUGCCCUGGUCGAGGGCCCCGAAUCGUGGGACGAUGGCGCAGACCGCCGCAAGGGCAUGGCGCCGUAACCCCAGGGCCGGGCGUGGCGCCGUUGCGGCCAGCGAGUAGCGCCGCAAGGGCGUGGAGGCAAUCGCGUAACCCCAGGGCAGGGCGUGGCGCCGUUGCAGCGAAGAUUCGUUCUUGAUUUGAUUUGGCGGUGUUGUCUUGGAGUGGCGAGGGGGGAUUUUGAUUGGGGAGAUGGGUCGAACUCCAAUCUGGUGCGGCCGCAUAUGGCCAUGUCCGAGUUUUCUCUCGCCAAAGAUUUGACAAUUGAGAUGCUAGGGAACACAAGAACCGGGUGCUAUCAGCGACUGACACCUGGCGAGCAGUUGAGGUAGCCAGGAGCCAUCCUUGAGAAAAGAUUGGUGCUGGAAUACAGUGGAAGGAGCCUCUGUCGCGGGAUGCCGAUCAGGUGACUGGUGUGGGAAUUGGCAGUUCUCAGUCAACGCAGGAUGGCAUGAUAAAAGAAGUUGUUAGCACCGAGCCACCGAUGGACGAGCAGAUGGAUUUCGUGAUCCGGGCGAUAGCAAGGAUGCUUAAGAGCAUGAUGGACAAGGGACAGACGGAAAAGAGUUGCAGGAUGGAGAAGGGAUGAAUGAAAAGGAGUAUAGCAGGAAGCAAGUUAUAACAAAUAUGGAUCUGGUGCAUCAGAGAAUAACAUUGCUGGAACACAUAUUGCUGCAAGCUUACAUCUUCUUUCAAAAAGGUAAAAUUUAUUAGAGAAGACCAAUGUAUUGCUUGACAAAGACGAUCAAGCCCUUUCCCCUUCUAAGGGUGGUGGUAUAUUACUGGAAGUCCAUGAAUCCCCUUCUAAGCGGGUAAAUUACUGGAAGAAUAUGUAUCAUGGAUACAUACCUGACAUGUCUGGGUCAUCUUAUUUAAAUGUAGGACACAAAAUUAACCUAGGAACGAACCUUGUUCCAGCACAUCUAUAUUACUACUACUCAGUAUCUAACCUUUUGUGUGUGGGAAAACUCAGUAUGUAAACUGAUACUUCGUAUGAAGGUAAAAUAUUUGUGCACUGAAUGAACUGAGAAUAGAGGUGAUAUUAUUUUUUGUAAAAAUCGAAGUUAUUCGAUGACUUCUCCCGAAGACACUGCAGCCAUCUUAAUAGGAAAACUCGAUCAGACUUACCCAGAGUAUGCUAUUCUCUCUCUAACAAUAAUUAACUUUUGUAAGGAGACAUUACCGGGAUGUAAGGAGACUUACCCAGGGUAUGUUUUCUCUCUCUCUCUAACAAUAAUUAUUUUGUGUACUACUUAGAGAACUGGUUAAAUGUUUUGUACUGCUCGAUCACACAUAUCAUAUUUAUGUGGUAAGAAAGGAAUUGUUAGCUGAAACAAAUAAUGUUGUGUAUUGGUGUCAUUUAGGUGACUGCACGGCAAUGGGUGUCAUGUAGAAACUACAUAUUGUGUGUUUGAUAUUUUUUCUGAAUUUAACUCUUUGUUGAUAACUUUUCUUUUUAUUUGUGAAGAAUUUAUUCACAUCCUGUAUCAUGAGCAAAUUAUUUUGACAUAUAUAAAUAUAAUUUCUAGACGCGGAUUAUAUUUCAAGAUCUAUGAUAGAAACUGCUAGAGCAUCUUUGACAAUUGGAUUUUUUUUCAGUUACUCUUUUUAUGGGUUUUGUAAGCUCUGUUGAUAGUGAUGGUGAGUUAGGCUCAUUCGGAGGUAAAUACAGAAAACUGAGAUAAGAUACUAUCACUUGCUUUUAUGUGUUACGGUUAUGGUUUUUAUGUGACUGAUUAGGAGGGUGCAAAUUGGGACAACUUUCUUUCAACCAUCUGAAUGUUGUGAUACAUGACUGUGAAAGGAUCGGAUACACCGCAUACACCAGGUAAACAACAUGUACCUAUCUGAUUUCACACUUGCGCUCAAGUCCCAUUUUAAAAAUAUGUUUCUUCGCAACCUGGUUGACACCAAUGCGCUCAAGUCACUUUAUUUAGUCGAAACAUGAAACAGCUCAACUGAAGAGAAGAACAUGAUUUUUUCCAUAAGAAGAUGGGCAACUAUCUUUAUCAUCAGUAUCUAAUUUUCUUGAUUUAUAAUUUAUCUUAUUAAUCUCUGUGGUCGAGCUUCUAGCCCCUCCCCCCUCUUUCUCCGGAUGAAAGUCUUGCCUUUUGGCAGGACGACGGAGGCGCUCUCACGUCUCGGUCCUCCCUCGAGGCGCCGUUCAAGGGGUGGUUGGGGGUUGUGGUCCUGGUGCGUGCCGUUGGGUGGCGGUGGCGGUGCUCGGCUCCUCCCCUGAUUGCCGGUGUUGGUCCUUUCACAACUUUCAGCAGCUCCUCGCCUUGUUUGCUGGUUGGUUGCCGGCCGGUGGUGGGUGUCCGCCUGUUGGCACGGUCUGGACAAAGGGGAGAUAGUUGUCUUCCCUCCGGCAGUGGCCCGAGGCGGCAGGCGGCAGAGUCGAUGCUUUCGUUGAAGCGGUCUGGCUCUUCAUGUCCACGCCAAUUGGUGUCGUCAGGUGGCUUCGGCCCUGCUGUUCUGGCUGCGCGAGACCUCCGGCGGCUCGAUCACAAUUUCUCCUGGUGCUUUGUUCGCUGCUGCCCCUGAGUAGUGAAUUUGGCUUGUAAUUUUUCAGUUUUUGGCAAGUCUUUGCCUUUGUCAUCAGCACCACUGUA